UCAUCUGAAGAGGGUCUCAACAUGAAGUCUCUUUCAUAGCAAUAAAAAAAUCAGCGACCAGGGCUGCACAAUUAAUAUUAUUACACAUACAACGAAUUCCUAUCAUUUGUUUGAAAAUGGUAUUACCAUGAUAUCUUCUUUGGGAAUAUUUACACAAAAUGAAAGCUUAAACCAAAAAAAUAGUUCUUGCUUAACAAAAGCAACAAUGACAACAAAAAACAAAAACAAAAAACCUAUGAAAUAGUGCACAAUUGAAUGUGCAAUUAAACAUGAAAAGAAAAUGUUUGUACUAAGCACUUUUGUAAUACACAAGUUUGUUUCACUUAAACUGUAAUCUUCACUCGAUUUUAUACCACUGGUACAUCUGAAGGAUGUACUUUUAACGCAACAUAUGCAACAACCAUACAGUAAAAAUACACAUAAAUAAAUGUCUCUCGUAAAAAUCCCACUAUAUUAAUUUUGUAUAAAUAUAUAUUUUCUUAAAAAUGCUGAAGUUCCUGGUUUUAACAAGCCACUCGUGUCCAUCAUCUUUUGAAGAUAUGACUUUAAAAUCAACAACAACAACCUGACAAGAACAGUUUGUUUGUUUAAAAAAAAUAUAUUAUGAAUAAUUAAUGGGGAAAAACCUUUAUGUUUAAUUUGACAAUCAUGCAUCCAUUAGUGUAUAUGUAUUUUAUUUACAUGUACUUCAAAAGUUUACAUCGUCCGCGUUUGUUUACGUAUUAUACAUGUGCAGGACUUUUAUUUUUCGAAAUGUAUACAUGUAGUUCAAAUCCAAGAAAAAUAUCCACAUCCUUACUUAACAUAAAGAAAAAAUUAAGUUAUUCAUAGUUCAAACGGAUGUAAUCACGUAUUAAAGUUAUUUCUCAUUUUGUUGUUUUUGUUGUGCGUAACUCCAAAACAGUAUAAAUAAGAGAACGGUUAAGUCAUUUUCACAUUAAAAGAUAGAGACAGCCAUUUCGUAGACUUGUGACUUUAAUUGGACUUAUCUGUGGUACUUACCGAAUUAAACAAGGAUGAGGGCUUAUAUACUUAUUUCCUUUCUAUUAAUAUCCGUCAUGUUGAUGACGUCAGAGGGCAGUCGUAGGUCAGUUAAGUGUAAAUCUAAGUGUUUGGGUGCCUACAACGUGUGCGCACGUGCCUGCAAAAAGGGUUUCUUUGACAUGCCAGAAACUUGUGAAGGAAGGCCAUGUCGUAAGACACUUCGGGACUGCUUUGUUACAAAAUGCGGUCUUUCAAGAACAUAAGGAAAGAUAGUCAAUUGAAUUUCUCACAGUGAAUUGGAGUUAAUAACUAUUGAACUAACUAAAUUAAAAAUUGCAGUCUCAUCAAUAUACGAUAAAGUGCCAAAAAUUCCAUUGCAAUAUGAUUUCUGUCCAUAAAAAUGAAUAAAAUGAUGAUAAAAGUAA